rnacentral:rRNA from 1 species
GAUGAACGCUGGCGGCGUGCCUAACACAUGCAAGUCGAGCGACCGGACAAUAAGCUCUUUCCUCUGCGGUUAGCGGCGGGCGGGCGAGUAACGCGUACAUCACCUUCCUCUAAUUCUGGGAUAACUACGUAAGACCGGAUCUGCUACUGGCUAAUAUAACCUACCGCCGGGUUCAAUAGUGAUAGGCACUUUUCGCGACGCAGAGAGACGGAGCCGGGCCGCAUUGGCUAGUUGGUAAGGUAACGGCUUACCAACGCUACGAUGCGUAGCCGACCUGAGAGGGUGAUCGGCCACACUGGAACUGAGACACGGUCCAGACUCCUACGGGAGGCAGCAGUAGGGAAUGUUUCGCAAUGGGCGAAAGCAUGACGCAGCAAUGCCGCGUGAGUGAUGAAGGCCUUCGGAUCGUAAAACGCUUUUGUUAGGGAAGAACAAAAGUAUAAGAAACUAUGCAUGUUCUGACGGUACCCAAACAGAAAGCCACGGCUAACUUCGUG